rnacentral:rRNA from 1 species
GAUGAACGCUAGCUACAGGCUUAACACAUGCAAGUCGAGGGGCAGCGGGAUUGAAGCUUGCUUCAAUUGCCGGCGACCGGCGCACGGGUGAGUAACGCGUAUCCAACCUUCCGUACACUCAGGGAUAGCCUUUCGAAAGAAAGAUUAAUACCUGAUGGUAUGAUGAGAUUGCAUGAUAUCAUCAUUAAAGAUUUAUCGGUGUACGAUGGGGAUGCGUUCCAUUAGGUAGUAGGCGGGGUAACGGCCCACCUAGCCAACGAUGGAUAGGGGUUCUGAGAGGAAGGUCCCCCACAUUGGAACUGAGACACGGUCCAAACUCCUACGGGAGGCAGCAGUGAGGAAUAUUGGUCAAUGGACGAGAGUCUGAACCAGCCAAGUAGCGUGAAGGAUGAAGGUCCUACGGAUUGUAAACUUCUUUUAUAAGGGAAUAAACCCUCCCACGUGUGGGAGCUUGUAUGUACCUUAUGAAUAAGCAUCGGCUAACUCCGU